rnacentral:rRNA from 1 species
UACGAAGGGGGCUAGCGUUGCUCGGAAUCACUGGGCGUAAAGCGCACGUAGGCGGCUUUUUAAGUCAGGGGUGAAAUCCUGGAGCUCAACUCCAGAACUGCCUUUGAUACUGAGAAGCUCGAGUCCGGGAGAGGUGAGUGGAACUGCGAGUGUAGAGGUGAAAUCCGUAGAUAUUCGCAAGAACACCAGUGGCGAAGGCGGCUCACUGGCCCGGUACUGACGCUGAGGUGCGAAAGCGUGGGGAGCAACAGG